GGGAAGGUGGCUCAAUGGAAGAGUGCUUGCCUUGCAUGCAUGAGGCUUUGUGUUCAAUUUCUCAGCUCCCCUU
rnacentral:tRNA from 1 species